CCCCUAGACGUUCUGGGCUGCACGCGCGCUACAAUAAUACGCACAGCGAGUAUCACCGAGCUCGAAAGGGCAAGGUAAACAAUAGAAAAGGUACUGUAAUGGUUAUAGAUCCUUGUAAUUAUUGAUCUUCAACGAGGAAUUCCUAGUAAGUAUGUGUCAUCAUCACGCACUGAUUACGUCCCUGCCCUUUGUACACACCGCCCGUCGCUCCUACCGAUUGGGUGAGCCGAUGAAACUCUCGGAUGUAGGCUAUUCAUAGCCCGCAGAAGAGAUUUGAAUCGUAGCACUUAGAGGAAGGAGAAGUCGUAACA
rnacentral:rRNA from 1 species